UUCGGGUUCGUUAGCAUUUUCGAGACUUCCGGUUCAAAAAAAAUAGACGCCCUAUGGGACAAAUGAAUGGAACGAAUUCCUUUAAAAUAACAGUUGUAUAUAUCGUAAACAUCUUAAUAUAACUAGGCUACUUUCACUUCACAAGCAUUGCCAGGGAACCGCAAGAGCUGUGACGUAAGUAACAUGCGCAGCAGUGCUUAAAGGCUUUUUGUUAGCAAAAUAAUUGUUUUGGUUGAGAAACGACAUCGGAAUUCAUCGGAUCCAGUGCCAUUUAAGACAGAAAUGUGUCCGGAUAAAAAUGUCCAAGUUUUAAAUGCCAGCUUAAAUCACAGACUGUGAUAGGGACGGUUAUGAAAAAAUCCAUUCAUUUUUUCCAUAGAGAAAUUUCCCUUUGAACCGGAAUUCCAUAUGUGGGCAAGCUGUGCAAGGACUACAAGAAUGCUGAUAUAUCAAAGACAAAGACUCAAAAGUGGAAGACAGAAAAUGAACAAGAAGGAAGCCCGUUCUUUGUCAUGGAGGAGACCUGUUUCCAUUGAGAGAGAAACGGGGGCUUUGUCCUGCUCCGUGCACAAUGUUCCAGAGAAGGGAGUACUCUUGUGUGUGGUCUUAUGUGCACACUUCAUUAUCUCAGCUGGAUCAAUCCGGCAUCAAAUGACCUGAUGGAGAAGGUAUGUGUGUGUGGCAGUUUGACUCUUCUUCAGAUAAUGUGUACAGAUGUGGGGCAUCGGUUUCUUCUUGGCCCAUAACCAUCAGACAAAUGGUUGUUUGAGAUUUUCAGGGGGUGAUAGAGUGAGCGAAUGAAGGAGUGAAUUAUUCAGUAAGUGAAUACCCCUUAUCCACAUCCAUCAGUGUUUGUGUCCCACCUGCCCUCCCCACAUAGAUUGGGCAUGGCAAAAGACACCCAAGCACACCCCUUCCUUGAUGACUGGUCAGUUCUUGAAGGGAGGGUGGUGAAACCCAGUCUGAACAAUCCAUCCAUCCAUUAUCUAUACCCGAUUAUCCUGAGCAGGGUCACGGGGGAGUGCUGGAGCAUAUCCCAGCGUGCAUUGGGUGAGAGGCAGGAAUACACCCUGGACAGGCCGCCAAUCUAUUGCGGGGCGCACACACACGAAGCAUUCACUCACACACUCAUACAUUUGGGAAAUUUGGAGUCUCCAAUCGGCCUACCUACAUGCCUUUGGACUGAGGGAGGAGUACCUGGAGGAAACCCACGCGGACACGGGGAGAACAUGCAAACUCCACACAGAAAGGCCCCAAGCCGAGAUUCGAACCCACAGGCUUCUUGCUAUGCGCCGACAGCACUACCUACUGCACCGCCAUGCUGCCCCUGCAACAAUCCACUGUGUAUUAUUAUUUAUUUAUUUAUUAAUUCUGUAUAUGGCAUCCAGGGUAGCAGAACUUUGGCAGAGACUACCGUAAACACUGCCAUGAAAAACAUUUGUCCCUGUGACCUUCCUGAUUUACUCUAUUAUUGCAUGUUCGUCACACUGAAUGGUUCCAGAUCUUCAGACAAAAUGAGUAAACACAGAAUAUUUUUAGAUAAUUAUUUAAUUUAUUUAAUGAAGAAAGUUAUCAAAUGCUGAUAUCACCCAUGUGAUACCAGGUUUGAUUGUUGAACCUAAACCUCACUCAUAUUGAUCAUUACUGUCAAGAGUGAAGUAGUCACCACAAACUCCACUGAACCGCAGUGAGAGCUAUUAUCUCCAAAUGGAGAACGCGUGGACCAGUGGUGAAUCUUCCCAGCUGGCCUGCCAAAAUUUCAAAAAUUGGAUUUAUGAAAGAGUAGCAAGGCGGAAACCACAGCUAACCAGGAGAAACAUAAAUGAUCGUCUCAUGUUUGCAAAAAUGCACCUGGAUGAUCCCCAACCCUUUUGGGAUGAUGUUCUAUGGACAGAUGAGUCAAAAGUGGAACUAUUUGGAUGACACGGGUCCCAUUAUUUCUGGCAUAAAGCAAAUUCAGCUUUUCACAGUAAGAACAUCAUACCAACAGUCAAUUAUAGAGAUGCUAGUGUGCAAUAGACAUGCUGUGGCAGGACGUGAAACAAGCAGUUCAUGCUCAAAAACCUAUCAAUUUGUCUGAAUUAAAGCAGUUCUGCAAAGAAGAGUGGGCUGAAAUUCCUUCACAGCAAUGUGGAAGACUAAUAUCAAAUUAUAGGAAACGUUUGGUUGCAGCUAUUGCUGCUUGUAGUAUUCGGUCCAGCAGAGGACCGGAUUCAUCUUGGUCGUGCACACCGGUGGAGAGAGCAAACGCACUUGGGUUGCAUUUGCUAAUCAGCCCAUUGAAGGUGUGUUCUUCUCCACAGUACAGGGCUGAGGCUGGGAGUACACACUGAGAGCGAGUUUCGUCAGCCCUAAAAGACAAAGAAAGAAACUGGAAACUGAAAACCAGUGAGAGGGAAGAGUGAAGGUGUUUGUUUGUUGAUUUUGUGUUUGUGUGCGUGCGCUCUCUCUCUCCAUGCGUAAAGCAACAGUGGACACCCGGAAUUGCCCCAUCUCCCUCCCAGGGGUGUCACAACAGUGUGGUGUGCAACCAGUUAUUAAGUUUAAGGGGGCAAUUACUUUUUCAUAUGGUGUUAUGGAUGCUUGAUAAUGUUUUAAUUUAAAUAAAUUAAAUAAUAAUUUUAGAAAUGUGUUGUGUGUUUACUCGGGUUCCCUUUGUCUAGUAUUACAUUUCGUAUAAAGAUCUGAAACCAUUCAGUGUGAUAAAUAUGCAAUAACAGGAAAUCAGGAUGGGGCAAAUACUUUUUCACAGUACUGUACUGUACAUAAAUGCUGCUGUUGUCUAUCCCAACAGAGUGACUCCUGAUCUAGCCUUUACUAGAGAGGCUAUCUUUUAGUUUUUGUUUUUUAUUUGUGACUUAAAGUUGAAAGCCCUGUAUAUUUUUUACAGGCGAGCCUUAAAAUGUUUGUGAUAAUUUAUUGAUGGCAUAGACAGUGAAAGAGAUGCCCCACGUGUCCAAGAGCAAGAGAGGCUCCAUUGAUUCUAGAGACCAGCAGGUAUUUUCAAACUUUUUUUUUAACACAAAGCAAAUCUGAGUUAAUGGAAUAUUUUCUGAACACUCUCUAAUAUCUAUUUUGUUCCAAGAUUAAUGAACAUUGCUUGAAGAACUGCAUUACUGAUGUAAAACAGAAAUAUACCACUGUUUUAAUGGUAUCAUCCUACACAAUCUAGUACAUGGGCAUACAUAAGUAAAAUAUAUUUUGUGUGUAAAAUGUUAAAUUGAUUGCCUGAAAUAAGUACUAAUAUGGGCUGUUAACUUUGUUACUAGAAUUUCUGGUUCCAUGGAAUCAAAAUUUUGGUUAUACCAGCUGAUCUUUUAUCUAAAUUAAUGUAAUAGCCAAUGUUUUGCCCUUUAUGUCAAAGUGUGUCUUUGAACUCAAAUGUGUACAAUAAUCAUGUACAGUAAAUAAAUUUAUUUUUGAAA